AACGAACGCUGGCGGCAUGCCUAACACAUGCAAGUCGAACGAGACCUUCGGGUCUAGUGGCGCACGGGUGCGUAACGCGUGGGAACCUGCCCUUAGGUUCGGAAUAACUCCCCGAAAGGGGUGCUAAUACCGGAUAAUGUCUUCGGACCAAAGAUUUAUCGCCUUUGGAUGGGCCCGCGUUGGAUUAGCUAGUUGGUAGGGUAAAAGCCUACCAAGGCGACGAUCCAUAGCUGGUCUGAGAGGAUGAUCAGCCACACUGGGACUGAGACACGGCCCAGACUCCUACGGGAGGCAGCAGUGGGGAAUAUUGGACAAUGGGCGAAAGCCUGAUCCAGCAAUGCCGCGUGAGUGAUGAAGGCCUUAGGGUUGAAAGCUCUUUUACCCGGGAUGAUAAUGACAGUACCGGGAGAAUAAGCUCCGGCUAACUCCGUG
rnacentral:rRNA from 1 species